AUUGAACGCUAGCGGCAUGCUUUACACAUGCAAGUCGAACGGCAGCGCGGACUUCGGUCUGGCUGCGAGUGGCGAACGGGUGAGUAAUGUAUCGGAAUGUGCCCAGUUGCGGGGGAUAACUACGCGAAAGCGUAGCUAAUACUGCAUACGCCCUACGGGGGAAAGCAGGGGAUGGUAAGACCUUGCCCUAUUGGAGGGGCCGAUAUCGGAUUAGCUAGUUGGUGAGGUAACGGCUCACCAAGGCGACGAUCCGUAGCUGGUUUGAGAGGACGACCAGCCACACUGGGACUGAGACACGGCCCAGACUCCUACGGGAGGCAGCAGUGGGGAACUUUAGACAAUGGGGGCAACCCUUAUCCAGCCAUCCCGCGUGUGCGAUGACGGCCUUCGGUGUGUAAAGCACUUCUGGCAGGAAAGAAACGGCGCGGGCUGAUACCCCGUGGAAGUGACGGUACCGGCAGAAUAAGCACCGGCUAACUACGUG
rnacentral:rRNA from 1 species